rnacentral:lncRNA from 1 species
CUAUGUUACUGUACCAUGAUGAAGGAAAUAUCUAAGUUAAAAGUCAAUAUUUUUUAGAAUUUUAUAAGAUUUCAUGCAAUAUUAUGAACGAAAUUUAUCAAUACGAAAUUGGAAAUGUCUGAACUGGGCUGGUGACCUCCCUCCAGGCUUCGUACGCCGAUUGUAUUUAGUUUUACGCAAUUGUUUAAGACGUGACCAUUGGUUUUAUAUUAAAUACUAAUAUAUUUCUAGAUUUAUAUUUUUUGUAUAGCAGCACUACACCCUUGAUCCUAGGCAAAACUGUAAAUUGGGGAAAUAUUCAUUUCCAUAAACAUAUUUCAAAUAAAAAAAUCACAGAACUCCAAGGAAAAUUAAAAAAAAAAACCCGAUUUUUAGGCAGUUAAGCUGUCUUAUGCGAGCACCCUAGAUUUGUGUUCUACCCAAUAAAUGCUGAAAUUUGUGCCAUUUGUAUUAUCUAGCUGGAUGUUAUGUUAUUUAUAACUAAUUGGACAGUUUUUUCACACUUUUAAUUCUUGAUUACAAAAAAUAUGACCAG